CUUUCCAUGGUUCCCAAAUUUUUUAAACAAAAAAAGUAAAACAAAAAUUAGAAAAAACACAAACAAUUUCCUAGUUCAUUACUCCACCGAAGAAAGAGAGAGGAGAGAGACUGAGAGCGUUUACAAAGUUAGGGUUUCGAAGGAUCGAAGGAUUUGAUCUGCAAUUCACAAUUUGGUCCGAACCAAUCGAAUUUUUUGCAAGUUCUAGCCAUUGGUUGCGAAAAUUCUCUCUCACGUCCCUGAAUCGAGUCACAGGGUUGAAUUGGGGAAACUUACGAGGGUAAUCGAACAACUUACGAGUAAUGGUGUAGGGGGCCAAUGCUGUGAUUCCAACAUGGGGUGAAAAGAGAACAGAGUCAAAGUUGAAAAAUCAUGUUGAGCUUGUUGAGCUUUUGGGGAUAGUAGAUACAAAGAAAGGCUCUAAUGUUGCUGGGGCUAGAGGUUUUUACUUGAAAGGCGAUGGUGUGCUUCUAAAUCAAGCUCUUUGAAGAGCUUAGAUAGGAAUAAAUUGCUUUUGUAUUUAUGAGAUCUGGUGGGGAAGAGAUCAGAGCCAUUCAGAGGAGGAGGAGGAGAACUCAGCGGGCUAUAUAUGGAAGGGUAUUUCAUAUAUAGAGAUAUUGAAUCUAACUGUGCAACCCUCCACAGUCUCUACCAAGCAAAAACCAUUAACGAGUUGGCUACCUUCUGAUCCAGCUCAUAGUAAACUUCCAUUUUAUUUAGGGGUUUCAUAUCAAGGUCGAUGAAAAAUGCCUGCAAGAGUGCGUAGAUCACAACUCAGAAGGAACUUAGGGAAGAUAAUUGAAUACAGUGAACUCCUAUUGUGCAGUCACCCAACUUAUUUUAGCUAAUCUGCUAAAGAAGAACGAGAAAUUUACAGGGAGAGUGUAUGGGUCUUUCCCCUAAUUAACAUGCAAUUGAUGCAGGUGACAAACAAAAGACUGAAUGAGUCGCCCCUCACCUUCAUGUGUGAUAUAUGCUUUGCGUCGUUGUUAGUAUCACUACUUCUCAUCCACCAAAGGGGUUGCUGAGAUAACGAAAAGCCCAAAUUAAGAGAUUUGUUGGGAGAGCUUUUCUCCUAGUCGGGUGCAGAUUACUCAAGUCUAAUAGGCUUUUGAUUACAAGUACCCUACAGAAUGACUUCUUACUAGGAGCAUGGUGAGCUAUAUGGAGGAGAAAUGUAGAUCUAGCAAUAUGAGACGGUGGGGGCUCUUGUUUGUUUUUGGGUCAUUUUGUGAUUUCUAGUAAUGUUGAAUUUCUUUCUAUGGAUUUAAAUUUUAUGUAACUUUUUCAUUAAAAACACUAAAUUAAUUAGUGAGCAACUAUUUUGUACAUGUGUCCUAUGGGAACUAAUAAUGUAAUAUUACUCUUUAAGUCAAUGACAAUCUUUUGUUAUUGA